GUACAGCAAUGCAGCCUGCUGCCUCUGCUUAUCAGGAGAGGCAAAUGCCAAAGGCUGAGGGCUUGGAGGGCUCAGAGUGGACCCAGCAAGCCUGACCUUACAGUUGUUUUUCACUGAGAUCUCCUCUUUGCAGAAAGGCUUGAGUCUUCUCAGAGUGGUGUGUGCUCAUCUGAACUUCUUCCAUGUGUUGAAAAACCAAAGAAAUGCUUCUUGACAAGGGGAUGGAAAAAGCCAAAUGAUUCUCCAAGUUUCUAAUUUAGAGUCCUAAUGACAGCACCCGCUGCCACUCUCCACUACACUGGUCAUCCUUUAUCCAGCAGUACCUACUUACACAUUGCAGGAAAGUUAUUCCUACAAGCCUGACUGUGGGAUCAGGCUGACACACCAUUAAAAUGGGUGUAGUUAUAGUACUUUACUCCUGCAGGAUGUCUGUUCCCCUGACCUGAGCUGUUUAGAUGCUUCAAGGGUAAUACCAGUGAUUUCACUGUAGUGGAAAAGUACAACAGCAACAAUAUCAGAACUAUUCCAAGUGACAAAGAGCUGUGGUUCAUUGCAGAACUUUCUGUUGCAAAUCAUAAAACUCAAGUGAAGAAAUGCUUUCUCAGAUGAUCAUCACUUUCUGCUGCUUAUUUUAAUAUGAAGAAUCGUCUUGGCCAUGCUUAAUAAUAUUGAAUGAUGUGCUAUUCCAGGGAAUGGGAUAAGCUGCAACAAAUCUGAGGACUUGGUGUGAGCUGAAAAAUGAAGGAAAAGAGCUGAACCAACCAGAACUUUAUGAAUCCACCUUAUGAUAACGAAUACCUGCUCUCUUACUUCUCAGAGGAAUCAGUCCAAUUUUUCUAGGCUGAGGGACAAAAAUCCCACCAGUCCAAUUGACUGUUAGUGUGGAUUGGCUGAAAAUGCUAAGAAAGAAAAAUUGUCUGAGUGUCCAAGUGAGAGCAAGAGCAGCUCUCAUUCUGCAUCUUAAUGGCAGUAUAAAAUGACCAGCACUUCUGCAGCAGAUUACAGGGUCACAUCUCCAUUACCAUGGGGAAUGCAGAAGGCAGAAUAUUGCAGGACUGUCCCACACAAGGCAGAAAUGUGGCAGCAUUUUUCUCUGACCUGCAGGACAGUGUUGUGAAGAUGACAGUCUUUCCAUAGAACCUGUUGGGACCCUCUCCACCAACCUCACCAGGAGCUGCACAAAUGCUGGUAACACAACCCAACACAUUUACUUUUCUAUCUCUGAUACUAUUUUAUUUGCCACUCUGGCAGAGCCUGAAAAUUCAAGUUUGACUUUGGCUUCCAUUGGAUAUGGAGAUUCAAUCUGGAUGUUUAUCUGAAAUGUCCUUUAGUGUGGAAACCAUAGAGAAAUUUAUGUAACAAGAUGCAUGAGUUUGUGUUGUUUCAUGGGACUUCUCUAGACCUACACUUCUUGUUUGCUGUUUGCUUCUCCCAACUGAAAUGAAGUCAUCCAGAUGGAAAUCACUUGUUUGGCUCCCUGUGUACGGACCCAAAUCCUUUUGGGGAGUUUCCAUCUGUCGGUCUGUAGGCCUGGCACAAAUAUGGAAGUACAGAGGAACUUCUUGAAUUAUAACUCUCUAGUAACCUUUGCCAAAACUCAGAGGUUGAAUUUGGCCUAAGCUUUAGAAAAUACCCAGGCAAAAGCUUAUGUACAAACUCUUUCACUUCCCUUUAAACCAACGUGAAAAAAAGAAGGAAAAGCUGACAUUUCAGUUCUGCAAAUAGCUCAGCACUUCUAAGCACUGGCUCAGUGGCUCUGCUCCAGUAUCUCUGUUGCUUCCUCCCUUCCUACCUGGAGUGCCCUGAGACUGCACAUCCAGAGAUUUAUGAAGACCAAGUGUUACGGAAAUCUUAUCUAAUUUUUUUUUUUUUUUAAAUCAUUCAAACAACAAACCAUGCAAGUAUUUGCAACAGCAAAGUGAAUGGCAUUUUAGAGAUGGUGGUAUUCAUGGGAAGCAAAAUGUAUGAAAUAUAUGAGCCCUCUCCAACAGUAAUCCUAUUUUUUCCCCUCAUCUCAUGAAGUCAUUGAUUCUUUAGAAUUUCCCAAAUGUAUCCAGAGUCAAAGCAGUGCCCUGCAAUGGGGUUUGACAUUAUUUUAGCCACGGUCAAAGUGAAAGCUCCCAUUGUCAGGAGUAAAACCCUGGAGGGAAUGUGCCAGCCAGGAGAGAUUAAACGUUCUUUGUAUUGUACAACAAAAAGCGCUGUAAGGUUGAUCACAAUAAAAGCUUUCCAAAGUGA